rnacentral:misc_RNA from 1 species
GAUGAAGAACGCAGCGAAAUGCGAUAAGUAAUGUGAAUUGCAGAAUUCAGUGAAUCAUCGAAUCUUUGAACGCACCUUGCGCCCCUUGGUUAUUCCAAAGGGCAUGCCUGUUUGAGUAUCAUGAACACCUCAACUCUUGUGGUUUCCCACAAUGAGCUUGGACUGUGGAGGUUUUGUUGGCCCUGUGGUCAGCUCCUCUCAAAUGGAUCAGCUUACCGGUGUUUGGUGGCAUUACGGGUGUGAUAACUAUCUACGCUCGUGGUCGUCCCCAAAUAACCUCCAGUGAUGGAGGUUCGCUGGAGCUUAUAAAUGUCUCUCCCCAGUGAAGACAGCCUUUGAACGUUCGAUCUCAAAUCAGGUAGGACUACCCGCUGAACUUAAGCAUAUCAAUAAGCGGAGGA